UUGGCCCCAGUUGCGACAGCGGGACAGGCCGGGCAGUGAGGCCCAGCCCUGCUGCCCUGGAGGGCCCUUUCUGCUCCUGUUCCCUGGACCCUGGCCAUGGCCAGGACAGUCAGUUGUCCAGUACAAAUUCAGUGUGGUAGUCUCUCAUUACAUAAGCCCUUGCCAAGUUUUCCUCUGCUAUGUCCCUACAGCUACAUCACUGAGACAACAAAGCCAACAGUGUUUACUUAAAAAGAGACGCUCAUGUGAGGUACUCCAAACAUCUGAUACAGGUCAGCCAAGGUGACACUGUUACCCAGCCUGGCAGCCCUUCAGAAGUGUCAGUGUAGAUAAGGAGUUGAAUCUGAUUUCACUAAGAAUGAAGAAUAACCUUUCUAGAAGUAUAUUCCAAGAACUUGUUCAGGAGAAGCAUAUUCUUGCAUUUUUACCAUACAGUAAGGAGCACCCCACAAAGCAUUCACCACAAUCAUCUUCAACAUCACCUUCACCAUCAUCAUCAUUAUCAUUGACCACCACAGCAUCAACACAUCAGCAACCACUAGAAGAAGAAGAAAGGAAGAAAGAAAUGCUGUGGUCCCUGCUACUGCUGCUUGGAACAUCAGACUAUUACUACUGCUGCUGCCCGGGACAUCGAACUCUGUGCCUGAGAACAACAGCUGCCACUGUUUCUGCAUGGAACCUGGGACUCUGUAGCAGAAAGCAGCAUUCCAGCUGCUGCUCCAGCUUGGGACUUAAUGCCAGAAAGCUUUUGCAUGGACUUUAACACCUUGAACUCUUUGCCGUGGAGACUGGAUCAUGUAAUAAACAGCCUUGUAACAACCAACACCUGCUCAUGUCUCUUUGAAGACCCUGGACUCACUAAAAGCAUGACAGCAAGCCAUGUGUCACCAGAUGACAGGUGAUUUAGCCAACAUUAUAGAGGAAUUUUGCAGCAAUACAGCAACUAAAACCUUGCAACUGCUGAGCUUUGUGCUUUUGAAUUCCAAAAAAUCUCUGUGUCAAAACAACUUGAUUUCAAGACUGUGGAGACUAUUUUUGCUGCAUUUCUCAGAAUCCUAGUCAUCUAUCAAAUUUGAUUGUCUCUUCUCUAUGCUUAUGAUACAGAUAAAUUUCAAUAAUAAAUAUAUUUUUCCACCAUGAAGAUAUAUCAUGAUGCAGAUGGGAAACAGAUUGACACAACAGGUACAGUUUCAGGUCAGCUAUUUUCACAAUCCUGUCUAUAUACAGAGAAAUCUACUGUUCACUUUCAGGCCUGUUGCUACAAUUAAUUUUUCUAGGACAUGUUGUUACAUGAUAUUGAUACAUAAUAUUUCUAAAAUUAUAUAAGGCUGAAUUAGGUUGAUAUUAAAUGAAUUUGUAAAGCUAAAUUGGUGUGGAGACUGAUACAAAAAGUCCUACUGAAAGCAUAUCUGUAUAACCAGAUCAGACAGGAUAUGAAUUCUUUUAAAGCCGUAAAAGUUCCCUUGUUGAAGAACAAAAUACAAUGGACCCUCUCAUUUCCAUUUCAUCAGUUCUGUGGUUUAUAAGAAAAUCUCACUGAACUGAGGAACUUCAGUUGCGUCUUAUAUCACUUCAGAACCUGAGUAGGCUGUUUGAAAAUCUACAGUAAGACACUUCCAGUUUUCUCUUUCUUGGCCACACAGACACGUGCACUUAAACCAGCCCUAACAGGCAAUAGGAUUUGCAUGUGAGCCACUGCAUUGGGUUUAUCUUAAAGUGUCUGUAUUUCUGCAAUGUUUUUUUCUGUUAAAUUUUUCCCCAACGUCCUUUACCCAAUACCAGAGACAAAAGAGUACAUGAAUUUAUUUGCUUUUUUCUGAUUUUCUAUCAUGAUUUUUUUAUCUGCUAAAUAAUUGACCUGUGCGAGUCAAUGUUCUGGAAACACACUGCAAGUGUAAGAGAAAAGUUUUCACCAUAUUCAACCCUACUAAGUUGUGAUAACCCUUGUAAAAAUUCUUCAUUUUCUUGCAGUAAAUUGAAAAAAAAAAUCUUCUGGCUCUCUAUCAGUGAAAAAAACCACAAAACCCGAAAAAAAUGAGAACAUCAUAAAAUGCCAACUUGUUUAUUAUCUCAUGAUACUUUCAGCUGAAAAAUACUUUCAGCUUUUUAUCAAAAACUAUAUUUUUUGCCUUAUCUCUCCCUUUUAUCAAGUCAAGCCUUGUACUAUUGCUUGCCCACCAGGACUGUAGAUAAUCAGGUUUAAAGCUCAGCUGUGAACAUUCUCCCUACUAAACCUAGACUAGACUUAAGGAAUCUUUUUUUUUUUCUUUUUACUUCCUAUUAGUUUUUCAUUGGUAUCAGGCAUUGUUCUCAGUAGAAAUUAUUACUAACAUCUAUAUUCUGGCAACAGAAUGAAGGGUGUUUCAAGAAACUAGGAUCUCUUCAAUGAAGUGAACUGUCUCUUGUUCAUAUUUGUCUAAUUAAUGCUUUUCUCUCACGAGGACAAGCAUCUUCCUGUAUAAAUUCCCAUAUAAUACACUAAACAUAAAUAUAAGGUGGGUGGGGUUUUUUGUUGUUAGUGAUGUGGAUUUUUUACCAAAAUAUUGAAUAAGUUGUGGAAAAUUGAGCAUAAAGAUAUUUCAAAGAUUUUCAAGAAAGGGAGGAUAGAUACAUCUGUGACUGAAAUAUCAAAGCCUGAACGCAAUUUGUAGAUCAAGAAUAUCUAAAUUUACCAUUUACCAGGCAGUAAUAGAGAUGGCUCAGAACAAGGCUUCAGAUGGCUGUAAGCCUUGUUCUUUUUCCUCAAUUCUUACUGCUAAUGUCUUUCAGAAGAGGAAUAUUUGAUUCACACUUUGGAGUGACUCAUAAGUUUGAAUCUUGCUUCCAUUUCACCUUCUUAAAGGCACUCAAAUACUGAUUUGAUGAUCCCUACAUAGGCCUAUAACGUGACAAUGAAUGUAAAAGAAGUUGCUAAAGAGUUACAGCAGCAUAUUAAUGUAAACACAUAUGAAUAACAUAGUAAUGAAAUGACAAAAUGGAUUUGUUCUCAGUUACAGAAUAAACUGUAGACAAAUUGUGCAUCCAUGCAUGCCUCUAUGGGAUUGUGGAAACACAGCAAGUGUAACAUGAAAGAAACAUGUGGCUCUGUAUUAGCCAUAAAAGGCAAGGCUUAGUAACAGGGCCUGAGGGUGCCUGUGUGGAAGGAGGCCAUGGACCUCCCUGUGCCAGUCAGAGCAGGUUCUAGAUGACUCUAAAAAGAAUGGAGACAUGUCUAUCAUUUUUUUUAAUGGGUUUGAGGCCCAUCAUGCCUCAAACCUUCAACCAGCCAGAGGAGCACACUGUACCUCUGAUCAGAUGUGCUUGAGGAAAGGUGGCAGCUGCUAGAGGUAGGAGACAACAGAAAAGAAGAAAGGUGAGAGGAGGUUGGGGAGGAAUCUCAAAAACAGGAGAUGUGAGGAGGUAAGUAAAGAGAACUUUUGAAUGAAAGAGGUAUGCUCUGAGAAACUGCAGCCCAUGGAGGGCCCAUGUGAGAUCAAAGACACCCCAAACAGGACUGUGGCUUGUGAAGGACACGCACUGAGGCAGGAGAACAGUAAGAACCAAGAAACAGAAAUAAACGAUUGUUCUCGGACUACGGCAGUAGGAAGCCCUACUUCCAAAGGGCUUGGAAGGGACUGCGUGUCCUGUGUGAUGAAGAGAAAGGGAAUUAAAUUGAGCAAGAGGGAGAGAAGUGAUGGACUGAAGCGGAGCCUGGGGAACAAGUAGAAAAGUAGUCUUUCUAAGUAUUGCUUUAAUUAACUUCCCUUGUUAAUACCUGAAUCAGUAAUUCAAAUUACAUGUUAAUUCACAGUAAAUUAAACUGUGUGGUGUUCCUCAAGUCAAGGCUGCUUUGCUCAUGAAAAGGUCAUAUGUGUAAAUUUUCAUUUUCAGUGUACCUAAUAAACAAAUAAACUAAUGCACACUUAGCAAUUAAUGUACACAUAACAUAGCUAUCAUGUCUAUCCCGUUAAUGCACAGCAAUUACUGCUGUGGUUUAACCCCAGCCAGAAACUGAGCCCCACACAGCUGCUCGUCCAUUCCCUGCACAAUGGAAGUAGAGAAAGAAGCAGGAAAGUCAGAAUACUGGUGGGUUGAGAUGAAGACAGUUUAAAAGGUAAAGCUAAAGCCACAUGCAGGCAAAUAAAAACAAGGAAUUAAUUCAUUACUUCCUAUGGGCAGACAGGUGCUCAGCCAUCCCCAGGAAAGUAGGAGUCUGUCACACCAAUGUUGACUUGGGAAGGCAAAUGACUUCACUCUGAAUGUCUCUUUCCUUCUACCCCAGAUGUAUAUGCUGAACAUGAGGUCAUAUGGUAUGGAAUAUCUCUUAGGUCAAUGGGAAUCAGGUGUCCUGGCUCUGUCUCAACAAACUUCUUUUGUACCCCAAGCCUGCCAACUGGUGGGAUGGGAUGAGAAGCAAAGGCCUUGACUCUGUUUCAGAGCUGCUCAGCAACAGUUAAAACAUCCCUGUGUUUUCAGCACAAAUCCAAGGCACAUCACCAUUCCAGCUCUGUGAAGAAAGUUAUCCCAGCAUAACCAGCACACUUACCUUAGUAUUUUCUUCUUCUAUCAGGUCUCAUAAUCAAGCCUUUUAAUCCUUCUCUUGCAGUUUUUUUCCUGAUAAGCAGGAGGAAUGCUCAAUCCCUUGACAUUUACAGGUUCACAUGUAAGCAUUUUCUGGCUGGAUACCUUAGAUAUUCCAUUUUUUAAAAAAUAAACUCAUAACACUUCAUCAUUGAAAUUAAAUAGAAAUAUGACCCCAAAAGGUUUAAAUUUUUUCGGACUUCAGAGUAGCUGGAAAAAUACCAGGAAGAAAAAAAGUCUGAAGGGCAGAAUAUUUUACUAUAUAAUGUCAUCUCAUUCCAGUUGUAUGAGAAAGGAAAGGUAAAAUAAUUAUCCCACUCAUAGAACUUACUAUCUCAUCUGCUUAUGUAUGUUAGUCUAAAACAUUAUUAUAUUGUCACCAUGAUAUUUAUUGUUUUUUGAUUAAGUGUUUACUGCAUGCUAAAUAUAAGAGCUGUAUUUCAAUACUUGAAAUGUUUUUAUUGCAUGCAAGGAAUGUGCAUUCCAGAGUGUGAUUAGCUAAUUAAAGUGAGGUGGAAAUUGAAAUCAAAGUCUCAAAUGAACUAUUGGGUUUGUUUGUAUACAAAUACAGUUUUUGAAGAUGAGAGAACCUGAAGAAUUGUGCUUGAGAACAA